UAUCAAAAUACUUCAGUGUUGUGUAUUUUUGUAUUUUCAAAAUACUGUAAAAUACUUUCUGUGAAACACUGUGAUAACAUCUAUCUAUCUAUAAACGAAUGUCUCUGUCUGUGGCACCUUCGCAUAGUUAAGCCCCUGUGACGCCACGCUCGGCCACUAGGGAAUGUUGGCGCUGUUUCACACUUGCUAUGGGCAUGCACAUUGCACUCACAACACAAAACGUUCGGUGCUGCAGAUUGAGUUGGGUAGCUACGUUGGCUACUUUGUCCGGACCUGUCAUACAUUGUUUCAAAGCAAGAUUCAGGUUCAGAACGUGAUUGGAGGGACAGUUAGGAGUUGCAGGGACCUGUGAGGAGAAAUGAGUGAGAAUGAGUGGGAGAAUGGGAGACAAUGAGGAGAGCAGCUCUGACCAGCCCCUGGAAAUACCAGAGGAGAAUCCUACCCCAAGCACUAGUACUGCUCAGUGGACUGUGAGAUCAGCGAUAUUAGAUGGGACUUAUUUUGAAAUUGUGAAACAAACAGAAUCUGGGCAAGUUCAG